rnacentral:rRNA from 1 species
CCUACGGGAGGCAGCAGUAGGGAAUCUUCCACAAUGGGCGAAAGCCUGAUGGAGCAACGCCGCGUGGGUGAAGAAGGUCUUCGGAUCGUAAAACCCUGUUGUUAGAGAAGAAAGUGCGUGAGAGUAACUGUUCACGUUUCGACGGUAUCUACCCAGAAAGCCACGGCUAACUACUUGCCAGCAGCCGCGGUAAUACGUAGGUGGCAAGCGUUAUCCGGAUUUAUUUGGCGUAAAGGGAACGCAGGCGGUCUUUUAAGUCUGAUGUGAAAGCCUUCGGCUUAACCGGAGUAGUGCAUUGGAAACUGGGAGACUUGAGUGCAGAAGAGGAGAGUGGAACUCCAUGUGUAGCGGUGAAAUGCGUAGAUAUAUGGAAGAACACCAGUGGCGAAUGCGGCUCUCUGGUCUGUAACUGACGCUGAGGUUCGAAAGCGUGGGUAGCAAACAGGAUUAGAUACCCUUGUAGUC